GUGGGGAAUCUUGCGCAAUGGGCGAAAGCCUGACGCAGCCAUGCCGCGUGAAUGAUGAAGGUCUUAGGAUUGUAAAAUUCUUUCACCGGGGACGAUAAUGACGGUACCCGGAGAAGAAGCUCCGGCUAACUUCGUGCCAGCAGCCGCGGUAAUACGAAGGGGGCUAGCGUUGCUCGGAAUUACUGGGCGUAAAGGGCGCGUAGGCGGACAGCUUAGUCAGAGGUGAAAGCCCAGGGCUCAACCUUGGAAUUGCCUUUGAUACUGACUGUCUUGAGUUUGGGAGAGGUGAGUGGAACUCCGAGUGUAGAGGUGAAAUUCGUAGAGAUUCGGAAGAACACCAGUGGCGAAGGCGACUCACUGGCCCAAUACUGACGCUGAGGCGCGAAAGCGUGGGGAGCAAACAGGAUUAGAUACCCGGGUAGUCC
rnacentral:rRNA from 1 species